rnacentral:rRNA from 1 species
CCUACGGGAGGCAGCAGUGGGGAAUAUUGCACAAUGGGGGAAACCCUGAUGCAGCGACGCCGCGUGAGUGAAGAAGUAAUUCGUUACGUAAAGCUCUAUCAGCAGGGAAGAAAAUGACGGUACCUGAGUAAGCAGCCCCGGCUAACUACGUGCCAGCAGCCGCGGUAAUCCGUAGGGGGCAAGCGGUAUCCGGAUUUACGGGGUGUAAAGGGAGCGUAGACGGUGCGCCGAGUCUGGAGUGAAAUGCCGCAGCUUAACUGCGGAACUGCUGUGGAAACUGGCGAACUAGAGUGCGGGAGGGGUAAGCGGAAUGCGUAGUGUAGCGGUGAAAGGCGUAGAUAUUAGGAGGAACACCGGUGGCGAAGGCGGCUUACUGGACCGUAACUGACGUUGAGGCUCGAAAGCGUGGGGAGCGAACAGGAUUAGAUACCCGAGUAGUC